rnacentral:ncRNA from 2 species
UUAUAGCCCCGGUAGUAGCGGCGUCCUGUUGUGGCGGGUUUCGCCACAACAGAUAGAGCAAAUAACGGGACAAAUC